ensembl:lncRNA
GGCAUACUUCAUUUAGUUUUCAUUGGUUAGAAAAAGUCACCAUGACACAAGUUAAUGAAGAGAGAUGAGCUGAGGUGAUUCUCUCUUUUAAUCCUGGAACUCUUUUCAUUUUCCACGUGUUUUAUUCUUCCACCAGUAAUGAAGAUGCUGCUGAACAUUUCUCUGUUUCAAGGUAUCAACAUAUCGUAGAUGUAUCAUAUAAUCAUAGUGAAAACAGACAGGACCUGUUUCUGAUAACCCACCUGCUCCUCCAUCGGUGAAUCCAGACACAUUCAGUUUGUAUCCAUCACACUCUCCACUGAUGAAAAACGAGCAAACGCUUUUUUCCCGUCAAAGUCCUGCAUGUCGACCAGCAGCUCAUACUUUCUCUGGUUUGUCAGGUAGCGGACGUUGUCCAGACCUGGACACACACAAAUUUAAGACUUGGUUUGAUCCUGUCCAUCAAGUCUACAGAGAUGGUAAAUGUCAGCAUAAAACUAAAACAAGUGAACAGGACAUGCUGCUGUAUUUGUACUUUCUACACAGUGAAUUUCAUGUAGUAAGAAGUCAGUCUGGUUUCAGGUCUCACCGAGCCAGUACUCUCCAGCAGGGUCACCGAACCCAAACUUGUAGUAAUCCCAGGGUCUGUAGAAGUUCACUGUACCGUCCAUCCUCCUCUGGAACACCUGGGGACAGGUUGUUGUUUCCAGACAACAAGGACGGAGUUUACCUGGACAGCUGACCUUUCUCCAAGAGGAUAGAUGGUGUACACUCCACUGGGUGAGCUGUUGUCUCGUUCACGGAUGUCGCUGCAGUCCACUGGUCUGUAGAGCUCUGAGCAGCUGGUCAACAGUGGAGCAAGCAGGAGGAAAAGGACUGAUACUGUCUGGAACAGAGGAGGUUUUCUAGUUGUACAGAGUAACUCAAAUAUGGUACCACAAGAUCUCUAAGGAUCAGGUUAACCCACACACAGCUGUAACCCACAGGUUAACCCACAGGUUACAGCUGCCAAUCAUCACCAGUCCCAGUCCCAGCUUACAGGACAGCAACACUAAGCUUCCUCUUCAGGCCUCUUAAGGCCAGCGAAGUUCAGGAUAAUCCACAUCUGGGGGACAGGACUGAUGUUCUCUACAGAAUUGACCUUUCCAGGCUCAUACAUCAGUCAAACUCACCUUCAUGGUCAAACUUCUGUUGGAAUCAGAAGAUCAAGGUGCUGAUGUGGGUCUGUCUGAAUUCUCUGACAAGAUCUUGAAGGAACGGUAAGAAAAAAAAAUGAGUCACAGGAAGCAGAUGAUAAAAUAAAUUCAAAACAUGACUGAUCGAUAUUUGGUGCUCAGGCAGGAAGUGUCCCUGAACCAGAUGUUAAACCCCAAACCCCUGAUGCCUUGAAUAUAGCUUCCUGUCAGGUAUAUCCAGUCAAGUCUAGUCACCUGUUGGAUGGUGGACACCUUCAUAAAGAACUCAGCCCCUAAUCAGGCACAAACCAAAAGGAGUCCCCAGAGCGGCCUGCUGUUUAAGUUUGAAUUGGACAUCCAUCAUCCAUCUAUUUUCCUAACCUAACUUUUACUCAUAAGGAUCAUGGCAGUGCUGGAGCCUAUCUCACCUGUCACUGGGCAAGAGGCGGGGUACACCUGGACAAGUAGCCAGUCUACCACAGGGCUCACAUACAGAGUCAAACAAUCAUUCGCGCCAGAAUGUUCACAGAUCUAAAAGUGUUCAAAUGGCAUAAGAGAGAAAUGCUAAUAACAGUUUGACACUACACUAUCACACUGUUCACUGAGCAGCGAUGUUGGUUCUCUGACUGCGAACCUGGAAAUUCAGAUUUCCUGUAAGGACCUCGACAAGUCCAAGGAGCUAGGAUCGGUUGAAAUGUUGACUUUAAGAAGCUCAGGUGGGGAAAAGGGGAACAGGAAACAGGAGAAGUGUUUGGUGCCUGUGGUUGGCCUGGGAGAACUGAAGAACCUGGUUUCUCUCAGUAAUCUGAUUAAACUGAUUGGAAGGACACCAGCGCAACACAUCUGGGUGAUUAGUGGCGGGAGACCGGGAGGGAGAGACAUUAAACUAACCAAAUUUGGUCAGAGCAGGAAUUGGCGGGGUGUGAACAGGUGAGUAUGACUGAGACCGUGAGAGCAAAACGGAAAAAGAAAGAAGGUAAACUGGGGCAGGGAUUGAGACACUUCCCCACUUUACUGGAACUCAGUAGAAGCUCAUGGAUUCAACCAGUUUGUGUCUCUUUCUUAGGCAGAAGUCUUUGCUUUAGUUUCUUUUUGUUGGUCUUUUACUUCCUAUUUAUUCCUACAUUCAACACACCAAUGAUGGGACUGGCCUUUAAUAUUUUUUGGAUUUCAUCUGGAUAAAGGUUUAGUUCAAACACCCUGGUCCUCUACAGUCAGGUUGUAACUAUAUGGUGAAUUUAGUAGGUUUUAUUUUAAAGAGCCCAUUUAAUUCUUAAUCAGUUCUUUUUCAAACAUCCAAUUUCUAAUAAGAUCAUUUAAAGUUUCAAAUGACUUCUUCAUAAAGAAACAAUCUCUCUUCUAUCGACUUCAAACUCACUUUUUCAUUGUUUUCACGCUUAGUUCUGAAUUCCUUCCUCAAGACUACAACAUCAGAGGGUUCACUAAACACGUGGUUUUUAAUGCAAGGUAUCAUGAAAACCUUGAACCUUUCUAAGUUCAAAUUUAC